rnacentral:rRNA from 1 species
GAUGAACGCUGGCGGCGUGCCUAAUACAUGCAAGUCGAGCGAACAGACGAGGAGCUUGCUCCUCUGACGUUAGCGGCGGACGGGUGAGUAACACGUGGAUAACCUACCUAUAAGACUGGGAUAACUUCGGGAAACCGGAGCUAAUACCGGAUAAUAUAUUGAACCGCAUGGUUCAAUAGUGAAAGACGGUUUUGCUGGCACUUAUAGAUGGAUCCGCGCCGCAUUAGCUAGUUGGUAAGGUAACGGCUUACCAAGGCAACGAUGCGUAGCCGACCUGAGAGAGUGAUCGGCCACACUGGAACUGAGACGCGGUCCAGACUCCUGCGGGAGGCAGCAGUAGGGAAUCUUCCGCAAUGGGCGAAAGCCUGACGGAGCAACGCCGCGUGAGUGAUGAAGGUCUUCGGAUCGUAAAACUCUGUUAUUAGGGAAGAACAAAUGUGUAAGUAACUAUGCACGUCUUGACGGUACCUAGUCAGAAAGCCACGGCUAACUACGUG